UACGAAGGGGGCUAGCGUUGCUCGGAAUCACUGGGCGUAAAGGGUGCGUAGGCGGGUCUUUAAGUCAGGGGUGAAAUCCUGGAGCUCAACUCCAGAACUGCCUUUGAUACUGAGGAUCUUGAGUUCUGGAGAGGUGAGUGGAACUGCGAGUGUAGAGGUGAAAUUCGUAGAUAUUCGCAAGAACACCAGUGGCGAAGGCGGCUCACUGGCCCGAUACUGACGCUGAGGCACGAAAGCGUGGGGAGCAAACAGG
rnacentral:rRNA from 1 species